UGGGGAAUUUUUCGCAAUGAGUGAAAGCUUGACGAAGCAAUGCCACGUGGAGGAAGAAGGCCUUAGGGUUGUAAUCUCCUUUUCUCAUUGAAUAAGAUAUGACGGUAUUUGAGGAAUAAGCAUCGGCUAAUUUCGUGCCAGCAGCCGCGGUAAUACGAGAGAUGCAAGCGUUAUCCGGAAUUAUUGGGCGUAAAGAGUUUGUAGGUUGUUUAGUGUGUUUAGUGUUAAAUAUCAAUGCUUAACAUUGAACUUGCACUAAAAACUAUUAGACUGGAGUAUGAUAGGGGUAAAGGGAAUUCCCAGUGUAGCGGUGAAAUGCGUAGAUAUUGGGAAGAACACCAACGGCGAAAGCACUUUGCUAGGUUAAUACUGACACUGAGAAACGAAAGCUAAGGGAUCG
rnacentral:rRNA from 1 species